AAUGAACGCUGGCGGCAUGCCUAACACAUGCAAGUCGAACGAAGGCUUCGGCCUUAGUGGCGCACGGGUGCGUAACGCGGGGGAAUCUGCCCUCAGGUUCGGAAUAACAGCGAGAAAUUGCUGCUAAUACCGGAUGAUAUCGCGAGAUCAAAGAUUUAUCGCCUGAGGAUGAGCCCGCGUAGGAUUAGCCAGUUGGUGUGGUAAAGGCGCACCAAGGCGACGAUCCUUAGCUGGUCUGAGAGGAUGAUCAGCCACACUGGGACUGAGACACGGCCCAGACUCCUACGGGGGGCAGCAGUGGGGAAUAUUGGACAAUGGGCGAAAGCCGGAUCCAGCAAUGCCGCGUGAGUGAUGAAGGCCUUAGGAUUGUAAAGCUCUUUUACCCGGGAUAAUAAUGACAGUACCGGGAGAAUAAGCUCCGGCUAACUCCGUGCCAGCCGCCGCGGUAA
rnacentral:rRNA from 1 species